UGCAUCGGCCGGGAAUCGAACUGGGCCGCCCGCGUGGCAGGCGAGCAUUUACCACUGAACCACCGAUGC
rnacentral:tRNA from 1 species